CCAUCGCUUGGUCGACGGGCACCCGCGACAUGCCGGUCCGCGCCGUGGCGGCGACCGGCGGCGAGCCGCGCGAGCUGUUCCGACCCGACCGCGAGAGC
rnacentral:tRNA from 1 species